GUCAACUAACCCUCGACCGAAGUCGAAGGCAUGAGGAGCGAUCCUUAAUGCCUGGUUGAUUAGCCUGAGUGCUUUAGGCACUACGUUGUUUUUGUCAUAACACCCACGGACGUCCAUCCUAAUCCGGGGCUCUGUUGCCUGUGAUUAAAAGUUCUCUUGGGUUAACGGGAACGGUGUUGCAGGCGUAAAAAGCAAUUACAACAUUGGCGAAGGAUGCCAAC
rfam:Youngiibacter fragilis 232.1 contig_97, whole genome shotgun sequence.